ensembl:lncRNA
GUUCUCUCCUGCCUGCAAAUAUGGCAUCAGGAAACAUAAACACCUACAAGAUAAAAGCAAAACCUAAUCCUAGAAAAACAAGCCUGACUAUUUACUCACCCAGAUCUAACUCUGGACUAGACCCAUGCAACUCACACCAGAGCCUACCAGCAGCUACUGCUGGUCAUGCUGCUAUGAGAACUGCCUUCACAGAGAGCCUAAAAAUCAGGCAGGAAAUCAGAUACAAAGAAGAACAUGGGGUAACAAGACAGUGACACUUUCCUGUAAGAAGACCAUAAAUCUUUAUACAAGGGGGCGGACUGGAGAACGUCAGGGGUUUCCAUGUGUGAGUGUUUAAAAUAAAACCUUAUUCAUGCUGGAGUGGGGAAGAAAAGAACUGGCAAGCUGGGAACACAAAAAGAAAAAAGGAGGAACCUUAAAAUAUGAGGUUUGACUGGGUCUUGAGCUCUGAAGCAAUCAGUGUUUUUUUCUGUUCUUUUUGUUCCCUCAUCAACUGGACCAGAACACUAUAUCUCUAGGAAGUCACUUACAGCCAUUCAUGCAAUUAUGGUGGCUUGGAGGAAACAGAUGAUUUGACAUGGAGUAGAUUUGCAGCCAGGACCCCAUUGCAAGCAGGACCUGAGUUCUUUGGAAGAGUCAUGAGCUGGGGGUGAUUGCCCUGUGAAGAGAGUAAAGAGUUCCCCAGCAAUCUGCAUUCAACCUUUGAAGUACUUUGGAAGCUGUGUAUAGAAGAUACCAGGGCAAUUUUGUGAACUGGAAAUGUAAAUUAGCAGAGCCGAACCUUCCUUAUUAAUGCUUCAAAAGACAUCAAAUCCCCUAACAAAGGACAGUCAGUACAGAGCAGGGCUCUCUCAUUGAUCGACUUGUCAUUUUUCUAUCUCAGCAUCACACAGGAGUGGGGAAUACAGGUGCUUUCGGGAGAAAUCCCCCAGCUCACAAAUCUGCCUUCUGUCCAGAAAGUAGGUCUCACUGGUGCAUAAUAAACGUGACAGCCUGGUAAAUAUUGAGGUGAGAGAGCACAGAUCCAUUCUGGUUCAGCACACUUGUGCAGCUACCAAAGACGGCACCAGGUUUCUAUGUGAGAUUACAACCCCAUAAUUCCAACAGAAUCACAUCAAACCCUCUCAAGGGGACAAAAAGUUUGCACAACUACAAGUUCAGUUGGACCAAGCUCAAUGGAGGGACUGGGUGACAUGACCCCCCCAAAGCUGGCUGGCAGUUCCCUGGCUCUGAAGCAAAUGAGAUGAUGCUGCAGACUGCUUUCCUAGCUACUUAAAGAUAAAAAGUACUUUAGAAUAGAGAAUAAUCCUCCAAAUCCUUAACUGAGUUACGAUUCUAGAGAAAGGAACAGAUCGUAUUUAUGAGAUGAAGAAUUACCUUGUCGUGUUCACAUCUUUUAAACCUCUGGUAUGAAAUAUUCACUCUUCUGAAGCCAAUCAAUGUUUCACUGCCAAAGGAAGUGGGUGCAGGCUUUCAGGCACAGAAUAUCAAUGGCAAGUUAUGUGGUUGUACAAGUGAGAGCCAAAGAUCCUUUACUUUCUCUUGAGUUCAAAAGAGAAUAUGCAUCUAGUAUUGGAUUUUAGUAAAAGUGAGCAUCUUGUAGAAGGUGAAUUUUACCUUAACUGAAGAAGGGAAGAAGCAGGAUUACAACUUUCAAAAUCUUCAGGAAGUGAAACGUGUUCAGUAUAUGCUGCUCUAAGGUUGUUAUUACUACUUCCUACAUUCAGGAAACCAUCAAGUUUACAAUAGGAGCAAAUUCUCGGAUUGUCAGUUUAAAUUUUAAGUUUGAGGUUGCUAUUCAAUUUCAGGGUACCACUAUCUCAAGCCAGAGAUCUAAGCAUCAGAGAGCAAAAUCAAAUGGAGUCAGAGUAGAUUUAGCAGAACACUACAUUAUGGACUAAGGAGUCAAACAUAUGCAAACCUUCCGUCCUUACUAAGAAACAGCCUCACACCAUCCACCUGGGGGACUGUCUUCAAGACCUAUCCUCUCCGCUGCCAGGGUGGGAGAAGCUGUGCCAAUGGUGCAAGAAGAACCAAACACUGGACCACAGGCUGGAUGUAUUCCUUUCGUCUUGAACAUGGUACCAAGCAGACAUGCUGUCAGCUAGCAGUGUUGGAAGUCUUUGUUAGAGAAAGAGAGGGCACUCUCUGUAUUGUACAUGUUUAGGAACAGUGGUGUUACACAUUAACUAUCAGAAUGAAAUUUGCUUACACUAUUGUGAAAAAGGGUCUGCCUACAGUGGUCUCCAAUUUUAGAUUUGAUUUUCAGUCCACAUUCCUGACUUCAGUCCUCAUCAGUCAGUUUUGCCCCAGACUCUUGCAUUAUGAAGACUAAUUUACAUAUCCAAAUAAAUAGCUCUCAAAGGAGAAAUUCAGGCUGACAUAAUGUAACUCAUCCUCAUCCUUUUAGAGCUAUUUUUGCAUAAAAAAAAGAUUAGCAAACAAAACCAAGGAGGUAAAGAAAGAAAUGUCAUGGAACCUCUGGGAUUUUUGAGAGACUACUCAACUAUCCUGUACAAUCAUGAAGAUGGGGUUGUGGGGAGGGAGAUUUCCCAGUUGACACGUUUCUCCACUUGUGAACAUGUUGAAAGAUCACUCAUAUGUUUUCAAUGAAGUCACUGACAGUCAAGAAUGCUGGAGGCAACAGCUGUUGGGGAUUGAUUUACCCCAAGGCUAUUUAAUCUCUCAGCCUCUCAUAAGGAUGCUUGCUAGGGGGAAGGUAAAGAAGCACAACUAAAAAUUGUAUUGCUUUCAGCAGCUGUUGUUAUUCCUGAAAGCCAAGAAAGGGUCAAAAAUAUGUGAUGAAAGUCUUGGAUUGUUAUCAGCUAUAGGGGUGGCCAAAGCUUACUGCUUCCUUUGGGAGUAAAGUUUCCUUUGUGGAAUGAAAUACAGUAAAAUUACUAACUCCCUUAGGCUUAGUUGCCUGGGAGUUACCAUGAAGUGUAUAUGUGCCUUGGAAUUUCCAGAAUUAUAAGUAUAUUAUGUCAGUAGGAAUGAUACAGGUUGUGAAAGGCAGCCGUUGUGUUCAGUAACAGGAGCUGAGACAAUCGGGUAGCAAGAAAAGAUAACAUAAAACAUUCAUUAAAAUGGUGGAAAAAAAAUGACUGAAAAGCAGAGUGCAGCUGCUGUUAUGUGUCAGUUACUAUUUCAGAAUGGUCUCCUUCUGUGAAACACUGGACUUUUAUGAAAUCAUAUUGUCCAACCAUGCAUCAGACCCCUGAAGUGUAAGGUAUUUGCCUACCUCGCUGAAAAUAAGAUACAUCCCAGCAGAGAUUCUUUUUGUAACCAUGCAUUUUUCACUCUUGGCUAGCAGAACUUUUCAGAGAGAAUUAGCAUGGAUUGCAUUUUCACUUGGGAAGGAAGCAAAAGUUGCAGUUCUGUUUCACCUAGGAUUUCAUGGCUGUGAAUAUGGGUGAUGCCUCGUGGCUUUAAGAGUGUGUAAUCAGCCACAGAACUUUUGUCUUUUCCCUAAAGCAAUCCAAGAUUUUUGUGACCAUGCCCCAUCCUGAACAUUAGCAGUGUACAGCCUUACAUCUCUCUCAUCCCUCCCAAAUUCAUGGAGUGGCUCACUCAGGAUGUGUCUACCAGGGCUUUCCUUUGGUUCAAUAAUACACUUCUGAAGCAAAUCUCUCAUUAUCCCCACUUACUGUGCUUUGUAUCCCAUCAUGGAUCUGUUUUGGGAAGCCAGAUUUGUUCCAGAUGAAAUGAAAGUGGAAAGUGCUCUCCAGGAGCAUACCUCAUGUAUUGCAUCACAAAGGGCUCCAUGAAAAACUCCAGGCAAUGAGAGAAUGGGCCUGAAAGUCACAGCUAUCCUGGAAAUGGCUAUGUUCAGAGGAGGAUGAGUAUUCUUCAGGGCAGUGCUGUCUCCUUACACUAGCUGAGUUCUCAAGAGCAACACACAAGUCUGCAAUGACCAAAAAAAAAUAAAAAUAAAAAAAUUGAACACAGCAAACUUUGCUGAAUGUGGACCUAAAAACUCUUUAAAUAUUCUUUAGAUGCUGAAAAAAAAAAAGGCAAAGCUAAAGAAAAGAUAAUGCUGAAAAAUAAGUAGCGUGUUUGUUCAUAAAAAGUAUCUUUACACAAUUAACGGAAUCACAGUAUCAAAGAAUUGUAAAGGCUGGAAAAGGGACCUCUGGUGACGAUCAAGUCCAGGUCUCAUCACAGCACCUUGGGAUUAUUGCUUAGUCCUGAGGAUGCCCAGAACUUGGUGCAUAGCUAAAGUUCAUCCAACAAAUUAAAAACCUUUGGCUCUGAGAAAAAUGGAAAAGAGAAAUUUUGGGCAAGUGCUUUGGGACUACAAGGAAAGAAUAAUCAAAUUACUGAAAAUCCCUGUCCCACAAGUACUUACAAAAACAGAAUAGUAAUUUUUCUUGUGACUUUUCAGCACUUCUCCCUCUGGGAUAAAGUGAACAUGGGAAAGAGGAAAAAUGUAGAAAUUAAGACAAAUUAAUUAUGAACUGUGUCUGACAGAAUUCAAUAACUGUUUUUCUGCUGACUAUACCAAAGUUUGGAUUGGGCAGUUUUGGUCUUCAGAACAUUCGAUAUCUACACAGUAGUCUGACUAGACAGAUUCCCAAUUCCUGUUUUUAUACACCUGCCAAGCUGACAGGCAUUCUAUGAUGGAAUAUGCAAGUCUUGUAACACAAUGCACUUACCCAACAAAAAGUGUCAUGAAAAGAUUAUUUGAUUUUCUAACAGCAGUCUUAAACCACAAAAUAAACCAAACCAAAACAAAGCUCAAAGCUUAUGAAUUAUUCCUUAAAAAUCAAAACAUAUUAAAAAAACACAACCACCUUCCUCCCACCAAGAGACAAGGUAACGGUGGAAAAGCAGAAUAAUGAAAGCAUUUGAUACUUACACGUCUUUCACCCUAUGGCACUCUAACACUGUAUGCUUGUACUCACCAAGCUGAAGUGUAACCACACCUGGGCCAUGGAUACUCCUUCUCCUCGGAGGAACACCUGUACAAUUAUCUGUGUUCUUCUUGGUAGUAGCAUCAGGUACAAAAGGGGCCUUGCAAGGACCUGACUGAAGUUCCCACUAAUCUCACCAGCUGUACACCCCAGCUUUUUCAUAGGGACAAUCCCCAAUCACUGAAGGAAAAGGGAUUUGUUCAACUCAAGCUUCAAUGCUUAUAGAAGCAUUCAACAAAAAUCCAUCCAUGCAGGUCUUUAAGAUCUUCUUUCUCCUGUAAAUUUGAUUCUCUUUCAAUAUUUUGACUUCCAGGCAUCUUGAGAGGCCCUAGUGCAGGCUCCCUUCCCAUCUUGUAAAAAAAAGGGAAGAGAUUAUGCUAUUUUCAGCCACCAGAUAAAUAAACUUCUACAGUUUACUUGAAGUGUAUUAUUUUUUAAACCCAAAAUUGUCAUUUCUGCUUAUUUAGGAAAGUGUCCUUAGUUCUUCUGCAGAUCUCCUAGGCUAUGACACUGUGUAUUCAAGGACAAACCUUGCUACAGGAAACCUUUUAAAUCAACAAAUAAAGUGCCAGUGCAGGCACUGAAGCUAUGGAGAUGCUGUCAUAGAAUCAGUUGUAGAAUCGUUUGACUUGGAAGAGACCCUUAAAGGCCAUCUAGUCCAACUCCCCUGCAAUGAACAGGGACACCUACAGCUAGAGGAGGUGCUCAGAGCCCCAUCCAGCCUGACCUUGAAUGUCUCCAGGGAUGGGACAUCUACCACAUCUCUGGGCAACCUGUUCCAGUGCUUCAACAUCCUUACUGUAACAUAUUUCUUCCUUAUAUCCAAAUCCAAAUCUCCCCUCUUUUAGUCUGAAACCAUUUCCCCUUGUCCUAUCACAACAGACCUUCUUAUAGAGUUUGUCCCCUUCUUUCUUAUAACCUCUCCUGAGGUCACAAAACCUCUGAACCUUUCUUCAUAAAAAGUGGUUCAUAAAAGCACUGAAACCUUUCUUCAUCUCACCUAGCCAAGCUCCAAGACACUUCUCCUUUUUUUUUUUUAAAUGUUAGAGUUUCUUUUUGAGUAAAUCAGAUUCUGUUACUGUCUUACUACACAGAUGCAUGGACAUCAAUACAGGCAGUAGAGAGGAAGUCAGUGGAAGCAUUUUUAAAAAAGAAAAUAUAUAUUAAAAAAAAAAACAAAAAAAUGUUGACUUACAUUGAUUUAAAGUGAUUUAAAGAUUUAAAGGCUCAGUGUAAAGCUCACAUAGAAUAGCAAAGUCCCAAUGACAGCAAGUAGCAGUGUGUAGGCUUAGCAAAUGACCCAUCAUAUCGUGAAAUAUUUCAGUUUGUUUUCUCUGAGUUCAUAGAGCUUUGUCAAGAUAUAGCUACAGCAGAUGCCAUUAUAAAUAUCUGAGUUCAAGAUGUUACAAAGAUAAAGAACAUACUUCUCAGACCUUUUUCUUUUCAUAGACAUAUAUUUUUUUAAAACCAUCGUUCUCCAGUAGGACUGUCAUAAUUAGUUCUAAAGCCUGUGGAAAAAUAUAACUCAAUUUCACACAAAGAGUCAGGAUCAAGGCGUAAUCUGUGAGAUCUCUGGUCAUUUUAAAGCUUUCUCAUAAUACAGCCUCUUUCACACUGUUGAUGGAAGUCUUGGGACAAGAAGACAGUUGCUUCUGUCUUGUUCUUGGGUGUGAAAAUCAGUAGGAGAAUGUGAAAGGCUUAGAACAUACCAUCCCAGAGAACUGAGUCUCAGCUUGCAAAGGAGACUCCAGUUAGGCAAUGACAAAUUCCUUCCUCUCAUUAGAGACACGUUCCUCAGCAUCAGGGGCCUUCCCUGGAAUGUGGCUUUCAGCUCCAAGGUCAUUCUAAUGAUGGAAAAAGAACCCAAGAGAUCAUGACGGUCUAAAGCAAAAGCUUGUGAAGCAGCUUUCGCAGACUCUCCAAGCCACGUGUGAAGGAAUGAGCAGCAGCGUGCCUGGGGACACUGAGAAGCUGCAAGCUGUGUUCCUGCAGAGCAUGGAGAGGUCAUCUCCCGGGGCAAGGCAUGGAGAGGGUGAUAAGAAACCACCCACAUCACCUGCUGCUUCAAAAUCAGUGUCUGUGCAGAAGGAUGUUCUUCACAAAGAAAUAACAAAUUUUUGUGUCCCUUUCCAUAAAUGGUAAGGAUGCAUUAGGUGAUGGCAGAAAGCGAGGAAGUAGAUGUAGUUCCCAAACUCUGGGGCAUAAACACAACAAAGUAUAAAAGAAGGAGGAAAGAUACAGAGAGGGUAAAAAUAAACAUUUUGAUUCAUCUCAUCUUGUGAAUCACAAAUGACAGGCACAUGGAAACUCAAAGAACCACACUAGACCAGACAAUGCAUAAUUCAGAGCCACCAGGUACAUCAGAAACAAAAAACAGAGGUACAGAUAUGAGACAGGAUUAGUCUUGAAGUAGGACAUUGUUUCUAUAGAAGGAAGAUAAAAAUAAUGAAGGGUUCAUAGGAAGAUUUGCUGAAGAUACUGUUGGAAACUUAACUAAGAGGGCUGCUCCUAAAGUAAUACCUCCUAUUUUAUUAUGUUGGCCCAUGAUGUCAGAAGUGUCAGAAGUUGGUGGUAUGGAAGUAGAUGUUGAACCUUCCCACCAAUACUCUGUUACAUGUUUUUGCCAUGUGACAGAUGGCAGCACUCUGUGUUGGGGGCACUCUGACAGAAUGGUAUCUGACAUAGAAGUACAUAUGAAGCAAAGACAUGGAAUUGAAUUCCUCCAUGCAGAAAAAACAGCACCCACUGACAUUCAUCAGUGCUUGCUGAAUGUUUAUGGAGACCAAGCAGUGGACAUGAGAACAGGGAUGUGGUGGGUGGAGCAUUUCAGCAGUGGCAACAGUGAUGAGAAUGGCAAGCCACAUACCAGACUGCCAUUCACAUUUUUACCAGUGCGGCACACAGGCUCUUGUUCAUCACUGGUGAAAAUGCACAACUAAUGGUGGUGACUAUGUUGAAAAAUAGUAAUUUGUUGCUGACAAUUUGCUCUGUCAAAUAGUAUUAAUGUGCUCUUUGCAUCUGUUGUAUUUUCCAAGGAAAUAAAUAGGAAGCAUUAUUUUGGAACGGCCUACAUAGUUCUGACCUCUAUGCCAUGGAAGACAGUUCAGCUGUAUUUAGGAGAAAUAUAUUUUCUGAUUUGCACAUAAAGGCCUAAUCAAUUACAUAUUACUUGCAUAUAGCACUAACAUGUUUUGCUUUCCACUGUCACUGGCUGAACAGCAAAUCAGACAGCCUGAACUUCUGAUGGCAAAAUUCUGAAAUGUUCCUCUCAUCUUUUGGGAUAUUUUGGUCGUUAGGGGGAAAUAAGUUCCUAUAUUAGUAGAUCUCAAAGAAUCACAGAAUAAUUUGAGUUGGAAGGGACCCCAAAAGGUCACCUAGUCCAACUGCCCUGCAUUGAACAGGGUCACCUACAGCUAGAUCACAUUGCUUAGAUCCCCAUCCAGCCUGACCUUGAGGUUCUUCAGGGACAAAGCAUCCACCACCACCAAUGGGG